rnacentral:lncRNA from 1 species
AUUANNNNNNNNNNAAGGUACUCUGGGAAGUUGUUGCUGAGGGAAUGUACAGCAUUCUUUGAGACCUUCCACCUGCAUCAUAUGUCUCUUUGUUUUUCUUUCAGAAUCCUAGAACUGUCUUCUCCAUGAAUGUCAUUAAUCUGUGUCCUCAAAUGACAUUAAAUCCUGUGUUGGAACAUCUAUUGGAUGGACAAACAUGAGGCCAUGCAGUUGCUCUGGUCCAGGGAAUUAAAAUUAACGAAGCUGAGAAGCACUCACUGAGAUGAAGCUUGGUAUACAGAUCCUGAUGAUAAGAGAGUCUUCACCAUCUUGCAUCAUAUACAUGAAAAACAAAAAGACAGUGAUUCUGGACUCAAGUGUGUGCCUGGCUCUGCAAGGACCAAGGCUA